AUUCUCAGGUUUCUCUUCAAAACGUAAAAAUCUUCAACCUUUUACUAAAGAUUUCAAUGCAGAGGAAUGUCAUGAGAAACCUUUUUUUUUUUUUUUUGACCCAGAGCACGGCACAA
rnacentral:snRNA from 1 species